AUCCUAAAGCUAAGAGUUGGUGGUUUUUCAAUCCAAGAAAAGGCCUUUCCUUCAUCACUGAUCUUCCAUCGUCCAUUUAUGGAUGGAAGAACCAAUUCUUCUUCGUCGCUUCUUCUCUUCUCUAGGGCUUCCCUUCGCACUGGAGUGAUCCAAGGAUCGAUCCCAACAAGAACAGUCGGGUGGAGGUCGAUGAUCGAGAAGACUUCCACCGAUUGAAGGACAUAGUGGUCUGUCGCAGAGAGAGUUG
rnacentral:lncRNA from 1 species